UCUUGCUUCCGCCCAAAGAUCGGAUCUUUGCUUCCGCCCAAAGAUCGGAUCUUUGCUUCCGCCCAAAGAUCAGAUCUUUGCUUCCGCCUCCGCUCUGGAAUCUAAAGUAUCUUCUCUUUGUCCAUGGCGGCGUCCACAUCUACUAGUCCUGUGGUAAAUUGUUCCCAUCGUCAAUGUAGGCGACCCGACUUGUCUUUCUCCAGGUUCCCCAUUAAGGAGGAAAGAUGUCGACAGUGUGUCCAGAAUACUCGCCGACAUGAUCUCCUACACUGAACUGCGGAGUAUUUGUCAAAUAACUGCCAUCUUACGUACAUUGUGUGAAAUUGUGAUUUGUUAGCUGCACAAAACAAUGCAAAUGACGAUUUAUUUAUUAUUGUAUCUACGUUGGACGUUUGCUCUUUGGUGUAAGCAGGAGUGGGGCUAUCAUUGUGUUACAUACAUUGAAUUGUACAUCACUUUCACUGGUUAGCUAAUAUGCUGAUCACUGCAACCCUGUAUCUUUCGCACACAGAAUAAUGUGAAUUAUGUAAAUCUUACUAUGCAUGUCAGAAAUAAAGUGUUAACCAUGUUAA